rnacentral:tRNA from 1 species
UGGGGGGUGGCUCAGUGGGAGAGCACAUGCCUUGCACGUGUGAGGCCCUGGGUCAAUCCCAGCCCCAA